rnacentral:lncRNA from 1 species
AUUCAACAGCAUAGUGAAUUGCUCUAAGAGAAAACAAAAAUUUUAAGUUCAUUAGAACACAUUCAUUCUGUGUCAGAAACCUAUGCUGUGUCAACUAUUUAAUCACAAUCCAAAUUUAGAGCUGAAUCCAGCUUGAAUGUUGUGUCCAUACUUGCCCCAACUGUUCAGGGUUCAACCUCUGCGGUCGUAUAAAGCUACGCCCUGCGGAGCAUCUGGUUAUAAGUUUUAAAGAUUAUCAGUCCCUUUACUUAUGUAAUUUAAGAAAAUAAUUAUUGAAACCAAAAAAGUAUAAGGAAUCUGCUUUUACAUGUUUUAUGUGUGCACAUUGAUGCAUAUUAUUUAAAUCUAUAGCUUUUAUUAAAUCUUAAGAAUAAACAACAUAAUUUCUUCAUACUAAAUUGUUCCUAUUGAUAGACAUGCAUGUAUACAUGUACAUGUAUGGCAAUAAGGAAACAUACCAACUUUAUAUGUGGUAAAUAAUUAUCCACUCCUUUGACAUGUUUGAAAUGUAAAAAUGAAGUAGAUUUAAGAUGUGGUGUCAGUUGAGAUCUGUUCACUCUUUACAGUUCAUUUAAAUAAUAAACAACUGUCAAUAGUGGAAUAGUAUUGUACCUGACAUAGUGAAAUGAUAAACAAAUAUUUAUUUUAUAAUUAAAACCAAUAUAGAAAUAAAGGUUUAUAUUAUUAUUAAAAGUCAUGUCAUUCUAAACUAACUAAAAUGAAAUACUAAAAACUAAAAUAAUUAACCUGUAUCUUGAAAUCUUAUUACAUUUUAUAGAAUUAUCAUAAACUUGUUAUUGAUGCAAACUAAGUUAUGAUGUUCGUGGUGUAUUUUUACAAAUAAUUUUAUGUACAUAAAAUGUAUGGGUGUUUUUUAAGUUUGAAUGUGAUGUAUUUGGAAUGCUGCAUUAUGUAUUAUGUAUUAAUUAUGAUGAAGUUGAAGUUUUAAAAAAUAUUCAAGGUGCAAUUAUAGAAUUAAUUUUUAUUUUGAAAAGGAAAUAGUCACUAUGAGGCUAAAAAUGUGAUAUUCAUGUACCCAUGGAAGGAAAUUUAUAUGAUUUGUAAAGGAGAAGUUUUCUGUCCCUAUAUCAGGGGCUAAUCAAGGUUUUUUGAAAGAGGUAAAAGUCCAUAAAAUGUAUUAUAUUUUAGAUUUUAUGCUAAAUAAUCUUAUAAACAUUCAUAUGAAAAAACCAUUGGUGCCCUCUACACCCUCUGUAUCAACCAGUAUCAAUAGUUGCUUCAGGAAUACUAAAAUGCAGAGGCGGAUUUAGGCCCCCCCCCCCUUUUUUGGGAAAAAAGUUGGUUGCUUACAUAGGGAAUCACUGAAGCGUGACUGGAGCGGGCCCCCACUUAUGAAAAUUUCUAGAUCUGCCAGUGAAAUGUGUGGUAUUACCCCCAUCUAUAUACCUAGUAAGCAGAUUGUUUAUUUACAAAUAGUUGGGACAUUUUAAAUGCAUUUUCUUUUGACUGACCUUAGCGUGAGAUAAAUAGACUGUUGAACAACUACAUAUUAAAUGAAGAUAGUUGUAUAGAAAUAAAGUGGUGAAUGAGAAAGUCUAAAAAUGAAUGAUUUUACCUGUGCCUUUUGAAGAUGAUUUCAAAACAAUCAUAUGAAAUAUGUUAUUGACCAUAAUUUCUAGUUUUGAAUGUACUCUUUUGAUGCUUAGCUCAAGUACAUUUUCUGUAUAAUUAUGUAGUUAAUUUAAUGUGAACUCAAUUGAAAGUCAUAAGACGAGUUAAAUGCACAUACAAAUAAAUGUAAAUAUUAAAUAGAUAUACAAUUACUGUAAAUUCAGAAACUAUUGCAAUGUUUAAUUAUUGUGAAAGAUGCGACACGGUCAUAAUUGCAAAAAUUUAACUCACAUUUUUAUGCCCCACCUACGAUAGUAGAGGGGCAUUAUGUUUUCUGGUCUGUGCCUCCGUUCGUCCGUCCGUCCGUUCAGGUUAAAGUUUUUGGUCAAGGUAGUUUUUGAUGAAGCUGAAGUCCAAUCAACUUGAAACUUAGUACACUUGUUGCUUAUGAUAUGAUCUUUCUAAUUUUAAAGCCAAAUUAGACUUUUGACCCCAAUUUCACGGUCCACUGAACAUAGAAAAUGAAAGUGUGAGUUUCAGGUUAAAGUUUUUGGUCAAGGUAGUUUUUGAUGAAGCUGAAGUCCAAUCAACUUGAAACUUAGUACACUUGUUGCUUAUGAUAUGAUCUUUUUAAUUUUAAAGCCAAAUUAGUAUUUUGAUCCCAAUUUCACGGUCCACUGAACAUAAUAAAUGAAAGUGGGAGUUUCAGGUUAAAGUUUUUGGUCAAGGUAGUUUUUGAUGAAGUUGAAGUCCAAUCAACUUGAAACUUAGUACACAUGUUCCAUAUGAUAUGAUCUUUAUAAUUUUAAUGCCAAAUUAGAUUUUUUUACCCAAUUUCACGGUCCAUUGAACAUGAAAAAUGAUAGUGCGAGUGGGGCAUCCGUGUACUUUGGACACAUUCUUGUUUUUUUAUUAGAAUAAACAAGAUUUAUCUUAAAAUUACAAAAAUUAAAAUCACAUUUUAGUCUUAAAUGACUAAAUUGCAAUAAUAAUAGCUCGCAAUAAUUUCUGAAUUUACAGCAUUCUUUAAUUGUGAAAAUUACAUAACUUGUGUUUGAAUAUUUAAAAGUAUAUAUAAGUUGUACCAAUCACGUUGUGUCAUGAUACCACAGGUUACUAACAGUAGCAUUGAGACACGAUUUAUUAAAAACUUAAAUAAAAAAAAGUGAGCAUUUAUAUUAUGUAUAUAGACUAAAUAUCACUUUUUAUAAAUUUGAGCAUUGUUACUGAAUGAAUUGAUUUGAUAUCUUAAAACUAUGUUAAAAAUAACAUGUUUUAAAUGCGAAAUAAAUUGUAAAUGUAAAGAAAUUAAACUAUAUUUUCUCUUAAUUACCAUAGUUCUAAGUUAGCUCUUGUUGCACAAAUAAUCUUCAGGUCUGUCAUUGUCUGUUAUCAUUGUUAUUUUACAAGGGUUGGCUAUAUAGCAGAGUGUAAACAAGACGAGGACUAUCAAUAAUCUUUAGAGUUUGAUUUUGUUCAAUGAAUCUAUCCAGAUUUUUU